rnacentral:lncRNA from 1 species
ACAGACACUAGUCAUCCCCCCUACCCUCCCCAUUUACUUUCAGGUUUUGUGCACUACGGCUUUCACGUUUGUAGUAGUCUGUUUAUUGUUUUGUUUAAGUUUCUCAGAAAUCAAAGAUGUGGAACUCAAAUCACGCUGCGCCUUGGUCCGACCAUUUCUACGAGCGUGACAAAAUUAUAUAAAUGAUUUAAUGUAAACAGACAUACACGUACGUAUGGCCAUAUAUUUACGCACGUAUGGCUGGCCAUAUUGUCCUCCUAUUGUCUAAUCCAGUGGUUUCCCUGCCGACGUUAGUACACAGUGUGUUAGGUUACGUAAAAGCAGACGUAAGUAUUAAAAGCAGGACUGGGUUGACUAGACCGGACCAGCUGGCAGUCGGUGGGAGGGGGGCCUAAAGUACAGUUGUGACAUAACACUUUAACCUCUUACAUCUAGACGUUCCGCUAGCGGAACACCUGCUCCAAUAUCCAAUGAUAGGCGUGGCGCGAAUUACAAAUUCCUCAAAAAUACAAAAACUUUUAAAGACAAGACUCUCCUUUAUCUAACCACAAUGUCCGAUUUCAAAAAGGCUUUACAGCGAAAGCAAAACAUUAGAUUAUGUCAGCAGAGUACCCAGCCAGAAAUAAUCAGACACCCAUUUUUCAAGCUAGCAUAUAAUGUCACAAAAACCCAGAAGACAGCUAAAUGCAGCACUAACCUUUGAUGAUCUUCAUCAGAUGACACACCUAGGACAUUAUGUUAUACAAUACAUGCAUGUUUUGUUCAAUCAAGUUCAAAUUUAUAUAAAAAAAACUGCUUUUUACAUUAGCAUGUGACAUUCAGAACUAGCAUACGCCCCGCAAACUUCCGGGGAAUUUACUAACAAUUUACUAAAUUACUCACGAUAAACGUUCACAAAAAGCAUAACAAUUAUUUUAAGAAUUAUAGAUACAGAACUCCUCUAUGCACUCGAUAUGUCCAAUUUUAAAAUAGCUUUUUGGUGAAAGCACAUUUUGCAAUAUUCUAAGUACAUAGCCCAGCCAUCACGGGCUAGCUAUUUAGACACCCGGCAAGUUUAGCCUUCAACAAAAUCAGAUUUACUAUAACAAAAAUGUUAUUACCUUUGUUGUCUUCGUCAGAAUGCACUCCCAGGACUGCUACUUCAAUAACAAAUGUUGGUUUGGUCCAAAAUAAUCCAUCGUUAUAUCCGAAUAGCGGCGUUUUGUUUGUGCGUUCCAGAAACUAUCCGAAAUGGUAAAUCAGGGUUGCGCGCAUGGUGCAAUUCGUGACAAAAAAAUUCUAAAUAUUCCAUUACCGUACUUCGAAGCAUGUCAACCGCUGUUUAAAAGCAAUUUUUAUGCAAUUUAUCUCGUAAAAAAGCGAUAAUAUUCUGACCGGGAAUCUCCUUUUCGGCAAACAGAGGAAAAAUCACAAAGACGGGGGCGGCCAGGCCACGCGCCUAAGCCCACAGUCCCUUGAUCGGCCACUUGAGAAAGGCGAUAAUGUGUUUCAGCCUGGGGCUGGGAUGACGACGUUCAGGUUUUUCCCGGGCUCUGAGUGCCCAUGGAAGACGUAGGAAGUGUCACGUUAGAGCAGAGAUCCUUUGUAAAAGAUAGAGAUGGCGAAGAAGUUCAAGAAAUGGUCAGACAGGCCACUUCCUGUAAAGGAAUCUCUCAGGUUUUGACCUGCCAUUUGAGUUCUGUUAUACUCACAGACACCAUUCAAACAGUUUUAGAAACUUUGGAGUGUUUUCUAUCCAAAGCCAAUAAUUAUAUGCAUAUUCUAGUUACUGGGCAGGAGUAGUAACCAGAUUAAAUCGGGUACGUUUUUUAUCCAGCCGUGAAAAUUCUGCCCCCUAGCCAUAACAGGGUUGGAGUGAAAGCCUACAGGAUGGUAGCUCUCCAGGAACAGGGUUGGAGCGAAAGCCUACAGGAUGGUAGCACUCCAGGAACAGGGUUGGAGCGAAAGCCUACAGGAUGGUAGCUCUACAGGAACAGGGCUGGACAGCCCUGGUAUACACUAUGUGUGUAUGUUUAUUUGUAUUUGUUCUGAACUUUCUUGGUGUUUUUAAUGUAAAAGCUCUGGUAGAGGAAUAUUUCCAUGUAUUACUACCAUGAAAUUUGAAAUUGAUUUGAUCAGAACAUUCUAUAAUUUAGCUUAAUCUGAAUAUGUCCUUGAUCGUCUCUCAAAAGACUAAACAUCCUGUACUGGUCAGACCAGACCAAUGGGACCAGGGCCAUAGACAGGUGUUAAUUCCAGUGAGAAACAACCACGGUCAAACUAAAUG